GGAAUACAGGUGUGAGCCACUGCACCCAGCCAUGCCUGACAAAUUUUAACAAUAUUUAAGUGUAUAAUUCAGUGGCAUCAUGUACACUCACAAUGUUGUAUAAACAUCACUGCUGGACCAGGUGCGGUGGCUCACACCUGCAAUCCCAGCACUUUGGGAGGCCGAGGUGGGCGUAUGACAAAGUCAGGAGUUCGAGACAAGCCUGGC
rnacentral:lncRNA from 1 species